rnacentral:rRNA from 1 species
GACGAACGCUGGCGGCGUGCCUAAUACAUGCAAGUAGAACGCUGAAGGAGGAGCUUGCUCUUCUGGAUGAGUUGCGAACGGGUGAGUAACGCGUAGGUAACCUGCCUGGUAGCGGGGGAUAACUAUUGGAAACGAUAGCUAAUACCGCAUAACAGUAGAUGUUGCAUGACAUUUACUUAAAAGGUGCAAUUGCAUCACUACCAGAUGGACCUGCGUUGUAUUAGCUAGUUGGUGGGGUAACGGCUCACCAAGGCGACGAUACAUAGCCGACCUGAGAGGGUGAUCGGCCACACUGGGACUGAGACACGGCCCAGACUCCUACGGGAGGCAGCAGUAGGGAAUCUUCGGCAAUGGACGGAAGUCUGACCGAGCAACGCCGCGUGAGUGAAGAAGGUUUUCGGAUCGUAAAGCUCUGUUGCAAGAGAAGAACGAGUGUGAGAGUGGAAAGUUCACACUGUGACGGUAGCUUACCAGAAAGGGACGGCUAACUACGUG